CCUACGGGAGGCAGCAGUGGGGAAUAUUGGGCAAUGGGCGCAAGCCUGACCCAGCAACGCCGCGUGAAGGAAGAAGGCCUUCGGGUUGUAAACUUCUUUUCUCAGGGAUGAAGACAAUGACGGUACCUCAGUAACAAGCCACGGCUAACUACGUGCCAGCAGCCGCGGUAAUACGUAGGUGGCAAGCGUUAUCCGGAAUUACUGGGUGUAAAGGGUGCGUAGGCGGUAAAGUAAGUCAGAGGUGAAAUACAGGGGCUCAACCUCGGGCCUACCGUUGAAACUUUUAUACUUGAGUACUGGAGGGGCAGAUGGAAUUCCUAGUGUAGCGGUGAAAUGCGUAGAUAUUAGGAGGAACACCAGGGGCGAAGGCGAUCUGCUGGACUGUAACUGACGCUGAGGCGCGAAAGCGUGGGGAGCAAACAGGAUUAGAUACCUGAGUAGUC
rnacentral:rRNA from 1 species